AUGGCCAUAUCACGUUGAUACAGUAGUUCUCGUAUGAUCAUCGAAGUUAAGCAACGUUGACCUUGGUCCGUACCUAGAUGGGUGACCGUUUGGGAAUACCAUGUGCUGUAA